GACGAACGCUGGCGGCGUGCUUAACACAUGCAAGUCGAACGGAAAGGCCCUGCUUGCCGGGUACUCGAGUGGCGAACGGGUGAGUAACACGUGGGUGAUCUGCCCUUCACUUCGGGAUAAGCCUGGGAAACUGGGUCUAAUACCGGAUAGGAGCCAUUUUUAGUGUGAUGGUUGGAAAGUUUUUUCGGUGUAGGAUGAGCUCGCGGCCUAUCAGCUUGUUGGUGGGGUAAUGGCCUACCAAGGCGGCGACGGGUAGCCGGCCUGAGAGGGUGGACGGCCACAUUGGGACUGAGAUACGGCCCAGACUCCUACGGGAGGCAGCAGUGGGGAAUAUUGCACAAUGGGCGCAAGCCUGAUGCAGCGACGCCGCGUGGGGGAUGACGGCCUUCGGGUUGUAAACUCCUUUCGCUAGGGGCGAAGCUUUUUGUGACGGUACCUAGAUAAGAAGCACCGGCUAACUACGU
rnacentral:rRNA from 1 species